GUCGUGGUAGCCUAGCCUGGUCAAGGCGCAGGGUUGCUAACUCUGUGGCUCACCGCCUCCGGGGUUCAAAUCCCCGCCACGACG
rnacentral:tRNA from 3 species